GAUGAACGCUGGCGGCGUGCCUAAUACAUGCAAGUCGAGCGAAUGGAUUGAGAGCUUGCUCUUAUGAAGUUAGCGGCGGACGGGUGAAUAACACGUGGGUAACCUGCCCAUAAGACUGGGAUAACUCCGGGAAACCGGGGCUAAUCCCGGAUAACAUUUCGAACCGAAUGGUCCGAAAUUGAAAGGCGGCUGCGGCUGUUACUUAUGGAUGGACCCGCGUCGCAUUAGCUAGUUGGUGAGGUAACGGCUCACCAAGGCAACGAUGCGUAGCCGACCUGAGCGGGUGAUCGGCCACACUGGGACUGAGACACGGCCCAGACGCCUACGGGAGGCAGCAGUAGGGAAUCUUCCGCAAUGGACGAAAGUCUGACGGAGCAACGCCGCGUGAGUGAUGAAGGCUUUCGGGUCGUAAAACUCUGUUGUUAGGGAAGAACAAGUGCUAGUUGAAUAAGCUGGCACCUUGACGGUACCUAACCAGAAAGCCACGGCUAACUACGUGCCAGCCGCCGCCGUAA
rnacentral:rRNA from 1 species